rnacentral:sRNA from 1 species
GGUCUUCAUUUACCACUGGAUCUAAGUACAAAUAUCGACAAUAUUUUGUUUGUUGUUGAAUACUAUAGCAACAGAGUGAAGGAAAUUCAGUAUUUGAAGUGAUCGUUUAACAUAUUUAGUGCAACUUUACACUGCACAGCCUCAUCAUUCUUAUGUGCAGAUAUAUCAUGUCGUAAACGUUUACCGACUGUUCGGAAAUUAUAUAAAAUGUGCAUCAGUCAAACGAACAACUAUAAUUCAGAAUCAAUAAAGAUAUUUGCAUAGACCAAAUCAAAGAUGUGAUUGAAAAAUACAAAACAUUAGCGUGUCAGUUGGAAAUGUAAACCCCUUCAAAAUUAACUGUUUCCGGUGAAAAUUGGAAAACCCGACAGACAAUUUCAGAUAUACCGAUUUUAGUAUUAUUGUAUAUAUAGGUAGAUACAUCGAUAAAGUUAGAGAUAGGAAAUCUGAAGAUAAAAACAGUCUACAAUAUGCCAGAAGAUCCAGUAUUUGAGGUUAAAUGUAAAGACAAAGGUUUAUACCAUCAUUAAAUUUAAAAUUAGAUGGGGAGUACACUUGUCGAGGCCAAGGAACUGAUGAUACAGGUACAAACACAGUAGGAUGAAAAUGGACUAUAGCUUUAGUUUAUCGGUUCUUCCAACAAUAUUUAUCUUCACCUGAGAAUAAGCAAAUAACCGUACAAUCGUUAAAUAUUACCCACUAACUAAUCUCAGCUUCUCUCUCGUUGGUCUGAAAUUAAAUAUUAUAGCAAUAUGACUUUCUGGUAGCAAUGAAACAUAUAUGUACGUAUAUGUUGGGCUCCUUAAAAUUUUAAUGAUUUUAACGUUUAUUAGUGUUUCAAAAAUAGAAGUAAGAGAUGGCAUCAAAAUACGGUCGGUAAAUGCACCUGUUUUCUUUGACAUACGGUAAUUACACCUGAAUGUGUUUAAAUUGGUUUGAAUUCUUUUUUUUUUCUUACCACUUCUUUAUUUUGUAUAUACUAGUAACAAUUUUCACUGUGUGUUGAAAUUAUAACACUGUAAAUAUGUUAUGCAUUAUGCAAUCUCCUUAAGGAGGAAAUAAAGAGAGAG